rnacentral:rRNA from 1 species
AACGAGAAUCUACUGAAAGAGUUUUCGGACGAUGGAAGUAGAGGAAAGUGGCGGACGGGUGAGUAACGCGCGAGGAACCUGCCUUGAAGAGGGGGACAACAGUUGGAAACGACUGCUAAUACCGCAUGAAGCAUAGGGGUCGCAUGAUUCUUAUGCCAAAGAUUUAUCGCUUCAAGAUGGCCUCGCGUCUGAUUAGCUAGUUGGCGGGGUAACGGCCCACCAAGGCGACGAUCAGUAGCCGGACUGAGAGGUUGAACGGCCACAUUGGGACUGAGAUACGGCCCAGACUCCUACGGGAGGCAGCAGUGGGGGAUAUUGGGCAAUGGGCGCAAGCCUGACCCAGCAACGCCGCGUGAAGGAAGAAGGCUUUCGGGUUGUAAACUUCUUUUAAGAGGGAAGAGCAGAAGACGGUACCUCUAGAAUAAGCCACGGCUAACUACGUGCCAGCA